rnacentral:rRNA from 1 species
GAUCAUGGCUCAGGAUGAACGCUAGCGGCAGGCUUAACACAUGCAAGUCGAGGGGCAGCGGGUCUAGCAAUAGAUGCCGGCGACCGGCGAAAGGGUGAGUAACGCGUGAGCAACGUGCCCGUAUGUGGGGGAUAGUCGAUGGAAACGUCGCGUAAUACCCCGUAACAUAUGGAGCUGCAUGGUUCCAUAUUGAAAGAUUAAUGCAUACGGAUCGGCUCGCGUGCCAUUAGGUAGACGGCGGGGUAACGGCCCACCGUGCCGACGAUGGCUAGGGGUUCUGAGAGGAAGGUCCCCCACAUUGGAACUGAGACACGGUCCAGACUCCUACGGGAGGCAGCAGUGAGGAAUAUUGGACAAUGGCCGGAAGGCUGAUCCAGCCAUGCCGCGUGCCGGGAGGACGGCCCUAUGGGUUGUAAACCGCUUUUGCGGGGGAGCAAUAAGUGUUACGUGUAACACGAUGAGAGUACCCUGCGAAUAAGCAUCGGCUAACUCCGUGCCAGCCGCAGC